rnacentral:tRNA from 1 species
UGGCGGUUCGUCUAAUGGCAAGAUACUAGACUCUGACUCUAGGGAUGCAGGUUCGAAUCCUGCACCGCCAGCCA